UUAGGUGUAGAGUAACCUUCUCCGGUCAGAGCCACCAACUCAAGGCUGGAAAACACAAAAAAGCCCGAUUACCAGUCGGGUUUUUU
rnacentral:antisense_RNA from 1 species